CUAGGCUAUCUUUAGCUGUGCUGCGAACCAGCGACUCCUGGCAGGAUCGUGGAUAUAUAGUCACUAAAGAAUGAGUCCUCCAGGCUCUCCUCCUCCUCAUCAUUACACACGCCCCCGAAGACCAGUAUCUGAUGAUUUGGAGCCAGGGCCACAGAAAAGCCAGACCUUGGAGUAGGCUUGACCCUUCCCCUGAAGGGUUAAUCUGGGCCCAAGGCCAUUUGCCUGUCAAAGGAAACAGAGGAAGGGGUAAGAGGGGACACUAAGAGCCAGGAAGAACACACAGAGAGCCUUGGACACCUGGGAUGAGGCCAAUUGUGAGCAUUUGAAAUUAUUUAGGCACAGAAACUCACUUUGCCCCCCUUAUAGGAAGAGGGAACGCCAGUCAACCAUCCUCAAAGUCCAUCCUUCUCCAAGCUCAGCUGUGUGACACCAGACCUCACCUUCUAAGGGACCCUGGAACCAAGGGUCAAAAGGCAGAGAGACAGAUGUGGAGAUGCCGACUUGCUAGAGGAGGAUCAUGGGCUAAAAUAGACCUCACUGGGGUCCUAAGCCAGCUCGCCCAGCCCUGGACUACACCACCUCUCAUCGGGGACAGCUGUGCUCAGCUUUCCCAACAGGUGCCAAAUUCUUCUAACACAUGGAAAAUGUCUUCCCGUUACUUCUAGAAGAAAGAACUGAGAUUGUCCCUCACUAAACAUUAAAAAAGCGCUGGUGACCAUGCACUGGAGGUGACUGACUAGGCCCACAGUGCGGGUAGGACUCUGGGCCUGCCCAUUAGUAGUCCCCAGUCAACCUAUCACAGCAGCAGGUGCUGUGGGGAGGGACUAGAGCCGAAAACACUAACAUGGAGUUAGCGAGGCCCAUCAUCUCACACUGUGCAUCUACAGAGGGAGUGCUGCUCAUAGCACAGGACUCCCUUAUCAUGGGGCUACUUGCUGGGCCCAAGGGACAGCCCCACACCGUCCAGCCUCCAGGUUCAAGCUUCACAGGUUCCCAGUCCUAGGUUCCUGCCAGCAGUGGCAGAUGACGCACAUUUGAGCACACAGAACUACAUAUCCUAGUAAUGUCUGUGUGCUCUUGAGUAAGAACACUCUUUAAAAUGUCACACAAGGACAGGACCACAGCAGCUCCUCCUUCCCAUCUCCCCACUCCUCCUCUGCCCUCACAUGUGGCUCCACACGUUGGGGCUGAGCAUGCAUGUUCAGGGAGUCCGCCCAAAACUGUCCUCCCCAAUCUUACCUCUAAGCAUUAGGACUAUACCUGAGAACAACACAAAUACAACACAGGGUUUUCGAGGGGGACAGAGUGGCUGAGUGACCUGGGCUCCUGCUGCCUUCCAGGGCACACCGAAGGCUCACCCAUGUCACAUAAGGCACCACGGUCCAACCACUCCUGAGAAAGGUGGUCUGGUUCUUGGCUCUAGGCAGCCAACAGGGAACUCAGUGCAGCUCCCAUUUUGACAAAAGGGACACACAGUCUUUGCUUCUGCCCAGAGGCUAAAUGUAAGCCCAAGGCCACACACCCAGAACACAAUCCUCAAGCACAGCAGGACCUUCUCCCCCUUCCUCGGGCUUCAGCAGGAACAUGUCUGAGGGCUGGGUGCCUUUGUCCACGUCUUUCUUGACUCUCAAAAACGAAGUCAUGAGAACCGGCCAGGCUGCGGCAGCACGUAACAGGAGCUGCAGUCCCACAGAGAGCACAGGUCUGUACCACGUGGAUGGACCCCCACACAGCACAGCUCAGCCAUACCUCCCUCUGGCUCCUGCGUGUCAUCAGAGGACACAGCUACACUGGCACUGUGUGGAGAGAAGCAAGCCAACACCAUUGACAGACCUCCUGGAGCCUUCAAACCCACCGAUCCCGGGUCCUUAGCCUUCAGCUUCAAACAGUGAUGCUGACCGGCUGUCAGCCCUGAGGCCACAGCACACACAUCUCCUACUCAGCACCCCACAGCCCAGAUACCUGCUGGCCAUGAUCAUCACCCUGAGAAGGAUGCCUGUCCAGUUAAAUGUCCCUGUACUGUUUGUGCUUAAAUUCUCAGUUUCAGUGCACAUGAUCUUGUGGUCUUUACUUCUACAGAAAAACUGAGAGACAGCCCAGAACCACUGUCCUGGCAGCUGCAGCUGCUCACCCUACCCAUGUCCAUGCAGAAGCUACACUGAUGAGAGGGACCAAGCAGGCCACACAGUCCUCAUUUUCCCUACUGUUGCUUCUCUCCCCCAGGGUGCCAUUCAGGUCCUACAUGUCCUGCAGGCUGGCUAAGCUCUGCCCUAGGGAACCACUAUUCCCCUUUCCAUCUGUACUGCCCAGAAGGAUGUGGCAGGAAUGGCAGGUGGGAGGUAAGCGGGCACACGGGGCACUGUCCUUAGAGACCAAGUGCUGGUCUCGGUUGUUUUUGUGUCAAGUUUUAAUGAAAACAGCAAGUCUGACCCUCCGGCCUCUGACUCCCUAAGCUCCCCCUCCCACAUACGCUCCACCAUGAUGAUACCAUCUGCCAUGAGCCAUCCGUGUCCAAUCUUAGAUUUUCAGGGUCCAAACUCAUUUUAUGGCCAAGUGUGCCCUCACAGUCUGGGAGGGCUGAAAUAAAUAAUCUCACUUCUUUUUAA